rnacentral:ncRNA from 1 species
UUAUCUCUUGGCGAUGAAGUCCGCCAUGGAUAUGCCCAAAACCGCCUCAGCUGAUGACUUCUAACAAAGG